UACAGAGGUGGCAAGCGUUGUUCGGAAUUACUGGGCGUAAAGGGCGCGUAGGCGGUUCGUUAAGUCCUGUGUGAAAUCCCCCGGCCCAACUGGGGAACUGCACAGGAAACUAGCGGGCUUGAGUUCGGGAGAGGGAAGCGGAAUUCCGGGUGUAGCGGUGAAAUGCGUAGAUAUCCGGAGGAACACCGGUGGCGAAGGCGGCUUCCUGGACCGACACUGACGCUGAGGCGCGAAAGCUAGGGGAGCAAACGGG
rnacentral:rRNA from 1 species